rnacentral:rRNA from 1 species
GACGAACGCUGGCGGCGUGCUUAACACAUGCAAGUCGAGCGGUAAGGCCCUUUCGGGGGUACACGAGCGGCGAACGGGUGAGUAACACGUGGGUGACCUGCCCUUAGCUCUGGGAUAAGCCUGGGAAACUGGGUCUAAUACCGGAUAUGACUCCAUGACGCAUGUUGUGGGGUGGAAAGCCUUGUGCGGCUAGGGAUGGGCCCGCGGCCUAUCAGCUUGUUGGUGGGGUGAUGGCCACCAAGGCGACGACGGGUAGCCGGCCUGAGAGGGCGACCGGCCACACUGGGACUGAGACACGGCCCAGACUCCUACGGGAGGCAGCAGUGGGGAAUCUUGCGCAAUGGGCGAAAGCCUGACGCAGCGACGCCGCGUGA